UAAGUCACGUUUAAUAGGAAAAAUAAAAAUCAUUGUUUAUUUCGCAUAAUCUUUUCCUAUUUAUUCAUUGGGUUUAAUUAAAUAAUUAUAAUUGAUUAAAACAGAAUUGAUAUGAUAUAUACAUAUAUAUAUAUGUAUGUGUGUGUGUGUGUAUGUGUGAACGAGUUACGCGUGGAUGCUUAGCUCUCGUUUGGAUUUCAUUUUAGAAGCGAAUAAAAUGGUCCCCCGAUUUGUGAAGGAGAGUAAGAGAGACACACACACUCAAAGAGAGAGAGAGAGAGAGAGAGAGAGAGAGAGAGAGAGAGAGAGAGAAGAGAAGAGAUAGGGAGAAGAAAAUGGACAGAGAAGCAAAGGAACGAAAAGCAAUGUACGAACGAGAGACGGACGGAUACACGAUGAAAAGAGAGGGACGAAGAAAGAUACCGGCUGGCAAGCAGAUGGUAGCCUCGUUUAUUGGUUUACUCGUCGGCUCGCUGCCCCUCCGGCCAUGAAACGAGACUUUAGAACGAGUGUCGUUUCUCUUUGUAGCAGAGAGAGUGACCCGGCGACCUUCGACGGAAAUCGAUGAACGACGAGAAUGGAUUCAGUGACUCGAUCGAAGCAGGAUACCAUCGAUGUAGAACGCAUCUUUUUACCUUCCAUACAUUCAUCGAACGUUCAUUCAAGAAGGGGACGAAGAGAAGACGAGGAGAACGAUAGUGGUGGAUAUAGUAGCUGACAUUAAGAGAGUAUCUUUGUGUGUGUAUGUGUAUAAAAGAGAGUGGGAGAGAGACAGAGAGAGAGAGAGAGAGAGAAGUAUACGCACAGAUAUACAGACGCAGCCAUCAAAUAAUGGCGUCGUGGGGGCGGAUAGCCGUUGCCGGGUCGAUAGGAGGAAGGCCCUUGACCUGCAAAACUCCGACUGCCGUCCCACCGUCGGCGUCGCUUUAACGAGGACCCUCGCUCAUUGGUUCCUGUAGACUUCUCCCUAGGGAAGAAAUUGUGAUUCACCUGCUUUAUUAAGUGAACGAACGGAAGACAAGAUAUGACCAAGUGACCUGGAAGUGCAAGGUGCGUUACGGCACGGUAUAUAAAACGAGCCGUUCAAGAAAGAGAAAAGGAAAGAACAUGAUGGAGAAGCCGACCUUGCUACGAUCAGCUGUGUCAUCCUUGGGCCGUUAACGCUCAGGUGGUUUCGAUCUCAGGGCCGAGCAUCAAUCAUCAUUGGUAGUGCAAGGCGUGAUGUGAUUAUUGUCACUAAGAUACUCCGCUACGAUAUAACAAUCACGAAAGUGUGCCAAGUGACAUAACAGGGUUUAUCUUUAACGGUGAAUCUUAAGCAUCAAAUAAAACAGGCCUAAUAUUGUAGCCUCCCAUUAUGUUCUAUUCAUUGAGAUCCAGAUUAUGGUCUUCCUUACGAAAGAAAUAUGUUUGAAAGGGAUUUAAAUACAAAAGAGAAAAAAAAAGGAAUGAAUAAAUGCGUUUAUUAAGUCGAUGGAAAAAAAAAAAUUUAUCGAAAGUAUACAAUUUUUAUCUAAUCCGCUUACACAAGGGGAUAAUAUUGAUACAAAAUCUCAUAGAAUUUUGAUAUGUAUCAAUGUAGUUAAUGAAAAUGACACGAAUCGAAUAACACGAAUAAAUUAAAGGACAUAACGAAAGCAAAGUAGAUUCGAAAUUAUUGUAAAAAAAUGAUAACACUAUAUCUUACAAUUGCAAAAACGAAAUGCAUAUUUUUUUACGAAGAUAUUGAUUCACUUAUUGUCAUUUUCUUACUAAUUAGUAUUUCGUUUCUUAUCAAUGACAUUUAAAUAUCAUUUAAAAGAAUUAAGAAUAAGAGGUAAAUAUGCAUAAGCGUAAAAUGACCGAUUAAAGCGGUCAUUGUAAGACAAUUAAGUUAUCGCAAUAUAAUACAAUACAUUUCCAUUCUAUAUUAACAACAAAGAUAUUCUCGAAGAUUUUAGAAUCUGAUUUCAGGAGCGAGUUUAAUAACAGCGAACUCCCUCCCUGCAUCAUGGCAGGAUGACUCGACGAAGUCAGAGUCUGUUUUCGAAUGACUUGGCACUACGAAGAGAAGAUCUGGGCUAGUGAGAUCGCCAAUUUCAGUUGCUGCCAAUAACAUCUUUGGCCGAGAAUCGAUAUCGAGAUAGAUAGUAUGUGUAAUGCCACUGUGAUCGAUGCAAUAAGAAAUAAUUACCUCAGCAGAAAUAUUACAAUUUUCUUUAUAAUCGUUAAUGGACGAUGAUUCCUGAUCGAACACUGGGCCAACACAGAAGUCAAAAACCGGCACGUAGACGUAUACGCAUAAUAUUAUACAUAUAUGUCAUAAAUUAUAAAUUGGAAAUAACCUGCGAAGCGAAAAGACGAUGAUAGAAAUAUUUAUUCUGUUUUUGUUAAAUGUAACAAACGAUUUGUGCCGUUUAUAACAAAGGCCCAGUUAAUGCUCUACAUCUACCCUGUAGAUCCGAAUUUGUUUGAUAAGAGGCGACAAAUUCGGUUCUAGAGAGGUUUGUG